UGUUCUGCUGAAGGCUGUAAGCAGCUGUCAGAGAUGCAGAGAAUAAGGACUGCCGUGAAAUUCUCCCACCUGUAUCCUCCUCCAGCCUGUACCCUCACUUCCUGAUGCUGAGUGGUGUCCCCAGCUUGGCCAUGAACUCUAUCUGCCUGUGGUACACUAGCAAGAUUGCAGGACCCCAGAUGGAUUCAGUCUGACGCUGUUCUUCAUUACCCAAUGGCACUGCCUGAACUCUGGAUGGAAAGGUUGUCAUCUUGCCUUUGGCCAGCAUCUUGCAGUUGCUACCAUACACUGGCUGUUGCACACUCUCCUCUUCUGGGUGGCAAGGCAGCAUGAGAGCAUCUGAGUGAAAUGCCCAGACCUUGUGCGUUUUAGGAUUGCUGGCUUAUGGAGGGAGACACCAAGUGCUGGG